GAUGAACGCUGGCGGCGUGCCUAAUACAUGCAAGUCGAGCGAACAGACGAGGAGCUUGCUCCUCUGACGUUAGCGGCGGACGGGUGAGUAACACGUGGAUAACCUACCUAUAAGACUGGGAUAACUUCGGGAAACCGGAGCUAAUACCGGAUAAUAUAUUGAACCGCAUGGUUCAAUAGUGAAAGACGGUUUUGCUGUCACUUAUAGAUGGAUCCGCGCCGCAUUAGCUAGUUGGUAAGGUAACGGCUUACCAAGGCAACGAUGCGUAGCCGACCUGAGAGGGGGAUCGGCAAAAGGGGAGAGGGGAAAGGGGCAAAAACCCGAAGGGAGGAAGAGGGAGGAAAUCUUCCGGAAGGGGGGAAAGCGGAAAGGGGAAACGGGGGGGGAGGGAGAAGGGGUGACGGAUGGUAAACCUCUGUUAUUGGGGAAAAAAAAAGGGGUAAGAAACGAGGCAAGUAUGAAGGGAACCAAAUAAGAAAGCCCGGGAAAACAAGGG
rnacentral:rRNA from 1 species